rnacentral:rRNA from 1 species
UACAGAGGGGGCAAGCGUUAUUCGGAAUUAUUGGGCGUAAAGGGCGCGUAGGCGGCCUUGCAAGUGGCGGAUGAAAUCCCUCGGCUUAACCGAGGAACUGCCUGCCAGACUGCAAGGCUCGAGACCGGGAGAGGUGAGUGGAAUUCCCAGUGUAGCGGUGAAAUGCGUAGAUAUUGGGAGGAACACCAGUGGCGAAGGCGGCUCACUGGACCGGAACUGACGCUGAGGCGCGAAAGCGUGGGGAGCAAACAGG